GACGAACGCUGGCGGCGUGCUUAACACAUGCAAGUCGAACGAGGAACCCGGAGCUUGCUCCGGCGGAUUAGUGGCGAACGGGUGAGUAACACGUGAGUAACCUGCCCUUGACUCUGGGAUAACUGCGGGAAACUGUAGCUAAUACCGGAUACGACCCUCGGCGGCAUCGCCAGGGGGUGGAAAGAAUUUCGGUCAAGGAUGGACUCGCGGCCUAUCAGCUAGUUGGUGAGGUAACGGCUCACCAAGGCGACGACGGGUAGCCGGCCUGAGAGGGUGACCGGCCACACUGGGACUGAGAAACGGCCCAGACUCCUACGGGAGGCAGCAGUGGGGAAUAUUGCACAAUGGGCGCAAGCCUGAUGCAGCAACGCCGCGUGAGGGAUGACGGCCUUCGGGUUGUAAACCUCUUUUAGUAGGGAAGAAGCGAAAGUGACGGUACCUGCAGAAAAAGCACCGGCUAACUACGUGCCAGCCGCCGCCGUAAAAC
rnacentral:rRNA from 1 species